GACGAACGCUGGCGGCGUGCUUAACACAUGCCAGUCGAACGAGAGCGUAGAGAAAGCUUGCUUUUUCUACAAUCUAGUGGCAAACGGGUGAGUAACGCGUAAACAACCUGCCCUACGGAUGGGGACAACAGCUGGAAACGGCUGCUAAUACCGAAUACGUUCCGAAAGUCGCAUGACUAUCUGAAGAAAUGAUGGCCUCUAUUUAUAAGCUAUCGCCGGAGGAGGGGUUUGCGUCUGAUUAGCUAGUUGGAGGGGUAACGUCCCACCAAGGCGACGAUCAGUAGCCGGUCUGAGAGGAUGAACGGCCACAUUGGAACUGAGACACGGUCCAGACUCCUACGGGAGGCAGCAGUGGGGAAUCUUCCGCAAUGGGCGAAAGCCUGACGGAGCAACGCCGCGUGAGUGAAGACGGCCUUCGGGUUGUAAAGCUCUGUUAUAAGGGACGAAUAAUCUUGUGGUUAAUACCCAUGAGAAGUGACGGUACCGUAAGAGAAAGCCACGGCUAACUACGUG
rnacentral:rRNA from 1 species